rnacentral:rRNA from 1 species
AUUGAACGCUGGCGGCAUGCUUUACACAUGCAAGUCGAACGGUAACAGGGUGCUUGCACCGCUGACGAGUGGCGAACGGGUGAGUAAUGCGUCGGAACGUGCCGAGUAGUGGGGGAUAACGCAGCGAAAGUUGUGCUAAUACCGCAUACGUACUGAGGUAGAAAGUGGGGGACCUUCGGGCCUCACGCUAUUCGAGCGGCCGACGUCUGAUUAGCUAGUAGGUGAGGUAAAGGCUCACCUAGGCGACGAUCAGUAGCGGGUCUGAGAGGAUGAUCCGCCCCACUGGGACUGAGACACGGCCCAGACUCCUCCGGGAGGCAGCAGUGGGGAAUUUUGGACAAUGGGCGCAAGCCUGAUCCAGCCAUGCCGCGUGUCUGAAGAAGGCCUUCGGGUUGUAAAGGACUUUUGUCGGGGAGGAAAUCCCUAGCGUUAAUACCGCUGGGGGAUGACAGUACCUGAAGAAUAAGCACCGGCUAACUACGUGCCAGCCGCCGCCGUAAUAC